AAGGAAUAUUGGUCAAUGGGCGGAAGCCUGAACCAGCCAUCCCGCGUGCAGGAUGACUGCCCUAUGGGUUGUAAACUGCUUUUAUCUGGGAAUAAACCACUCUAUUUAUGGGGUGUUGAAGGUACCAGAAGAAUAAGCACCGGCUAACUCCGUGCCAGCAGCCGCGGUAAUACGGAGGGUGCAAGCGUUAUCCGGAAUCACUGGGUUUAAAGGGUGCGUAGGCGGCCAUGUAAGUCAGAGGUGAAAGGCUACAGCUUAACUGUGGAAUUGCCUUUGAUACUGUGUGGCUUGAAUAAGGAUGAGGUUGGCGGAAUGUGACAUGUAGCGGUGAAAUGCAUAGAUAUGUCAUAGAACACCAAUUGCGAAGGCAGCUAACUGGGCCUUUAUUGACGCUGAGGCACGAAAGCGUGGGGAUCAAAC
rnacentral:rRNA from 1 species